AUUGAACGCUGGCGGCAGGCCUAACACAUGCAAGUCGAGCGGGGUUUUCGGACCUAGCGGCGGACGGGUGAGUAAUGCGUAGGAAGCUACCCGAUAGAGGGGGAUACCAGUUGGAAACGACUGUUAAUACCGCAUAAUGUCUACGGACCAAAGUGUGGGACCUUCGGGCCGCAUGCUAUCGGAUGCGCCUACGUGGGAUUAGCGAGUUGGUGGGGUAAUGGCUCACCAAGGCGACGAUCCCUAGCUGGUUUGAGAGGAUGAUCAGCCACACUGGAACUGAGACACGGUCCAGACUCCUACGGGAGGCAGCAGUGGGGAAUAUUGGACAAUGGGCGCAAGCCUGAUCCAGCCAUGCCGCGUGUGUGAAGAAGGCCUUCGGGUUGUAAAGCACUUUCAGUAGGGAGGAAGGGUGUUGUGUUAAUAGCACAGCAUUUUGACGUUACCUACAGAAGAAGCACCGGCUAACUCUGUGCCAGCCGCCGCCGUAAGAC
rnacentral:rRNA from 1 species